GACGAACGCUGGCGGCGUGCUUAACACAUGCAAGUCGAACGAUGAAGCCCAGCUUGCUGGGUGGAUUAGUGGCGAACGGGUGAGUAACACGUGAGUAACCUGCCCUUGACUCUGGGAUAAGCGUUGGAAACGACGUCUAAUACCGGAUACGAGCUUCCACCGCAUGGUGAGUUGCUGGAAAGAAUUUUGGUCAAGGAUGGACUCGCGGCCUAUCAGCUUGUUGGUGAGGUAAUGGCUCACCAAGGCGACGACGGGUAGCCGGCCUGAGAGGGUGACCGGCCACACUGGGACUGAGACACGGCCCAGACUCCUACGGGAGGCAGCAGUGGGGAAUAUUGCACAAUGGGCGAAAGCCUGAUGCAGCAACGCCGCGUGAGGGACGACGGCCUUCGGGUUGUAAACCUCUUUUAGCAGGGAAGAAGCGAAAGUGACGGUACCUGCAGAAAAAGCACCGGCUAACUACGUGCCAGCAGCCGCGGUAAUACGUAGGGUGCAAGCGUUGUCCGGAAUUAUUGGGCGUAAAGAGCUCGUAGGCGGUUUGUCGCGUCUGCUGUGAAAUCCCGAGGCUCAACCUCGGGUCUGCAGUGGGUACGGGCAGACUAGAGUGCGGUAGGGGAGAUUGGAAUUCCUGGUGUAGCGGUGGAAUGCGCAGAUAUCAGGAGGAACACCGAUGGCGAAGGCAGAUCUCUGGGCCGCUACUGACGCUGAGGAGCGAAAGGGUGGGGAGCAAACAGGCUUAGAUACCCUGGUAGUCCACCCCGUAAACGUUGGGCGCUAGAUGUGGGGACCAUUCCACGGUUUCCGUGUCGUAGCUAACGCAUUAAGCGCCCCGCCUGGGGAGUACGGCCGCAAGGCUAAAACUCAAAGGAAUUGACGGGGGCCCGCACAAGCGGCGGAGCAUGCGGAUUAAUUCGAUGCAACGCGAAGAACCUUACCAAGGCUUGACAUAUACGAGAACGGGCCAGAAAUGGUCAACUCUUUGGACACUCGUAAACAGGUGGUGCAUGGUUGUCGUCAGCUCGUGUCGUGAGAUGUUGGGUUAAGUCCCGCAACGAGCGCAACCCUCGUUCUAUGUUGCCAGCACGUAAUGGUGGGAACUCAUGGGAUACUGCCGGGGUCAACUCGGAGGAAGGUGGGGACGACGUCAAAUCAUCAUGCCCCUUAUGUCUUGGGCUUCACGCAUGCUACAAUGGCCAGUACAAAGGGCUGCAAUACCGUAAGGUGGAGCGAAUCCCAAAAAGCUGGUCCCAGUUCGGAUUGAGGUCUGCAACUCGACCUCAUGAAGUCGGAGUCGCUAGUAAUCGCAGAUCAGCAACGCUGCGGUGAAUACGUUCCCGGGCCUUGUACACACCGCCCGUCAAGUCAUGAAAGUCGGUAACACCCGAAGCCAGUGGCCUAACCGCAAGGAUGGAGCUGUCUAAGGUGGGAUCGGUAAUUAGGACU
rnacentral:rRNA from 1 species